CGCUGCAGCCCAGGCGAGCGUCAGAAGGCGAGUCAUCGUGCAGGAACGAGGAAACGCCCCUCCACCCGAUUUCUCGCCGAAUACGACAGCAAACCGGUCGUCAUGUCUGCUUCUGGUGUUCAAACAGAGUUGAGGUUGGUCGUGCUGGGCCGCAGCGGGACCGGAGGGCGGGCAGCGGUUUGCGACAUCCUGGGCCUGCAAGAUUUCCGUCAGGGAAAAGAAGAAACGUCCCCAGAGGAGUGCAGGAAA